rnacentral:rRNA from 1 species
UCUUCGGCAAUGGGCGCAAGCCUGACCGAGCGACGCCGCGUGCGGGAUGAAGGCCUUCGGGUUGUAAACCGCUGUCGUAGAGGAGGAAAUGCAGGGGGGUUCUCCCUUCUGUUUGACCUAUUCUAGGAGGAAGUACGGGCUAAGUUCGUGCCAGCAGCCGCGGUAAGACGAACCGUACAAACGUUACUCGGAAUUACUGGGCUUAAAGGGUGCGUAGGCUGCGCGGAAAGUUGGGUGUGAAAGCCCUCGGCUCAACCGAGGAAUUGCACUCAAAACUACCGUGCUUGAGGGAGGCAGAGGUAAGCGGAACUCAAGGUGGAGCGGUGAAAUGCGUUGAUAUCUUGAGGAACACCGGUGGCGAAGGCGGCUUACUGGGUCUUUUCUGACGCUGAGGCACGAAAGCUAAGGUAGCAAACGGGAUUAGAUACCCCGGUAGUCUUAGCUGUAAACGAUGAGCACUUGAUUGGAGGGUCCUCCAUAGCCUUCCAGUCGUAGCGAAAGUGUUAAGUGCUCCGCCUGGGGA